UACGAAGGGGGCUAGCGUUGUUCGGAAUUACUGGGCGUAAAGCGCACGUAGGCGGAUUGUUAAGUCGGGGGUGAAAUCCUGGAGCUCAACUCCAGAACUGCCUUCGAUACUGGCGAUCUCGAGUUCGGGAGAGGUGAGUGGAACUGCGGAGUGUAGAGGUGAAAUUCGUAGAUAAUUCGCAAGAACACCAGUGGCGAAGGCGGCUUACUGGUCCGGUUCUGACGCUGAGGCGCGAAAGCGUGGGGAGCAAACAGG
rnacentral:rRNA from 1 species